GAUAUGAUUGACACCAAGGCCGAUGUAAAGCCGUCGCAGAUGGACAUUGACCCGCUGUGAAAACAACGCUACCUCAUGCCCCGUCUGAUC
rfam:Trypanosoma vivax Y486, WGS project CAEX01000000 data, contig: 2197